UGCUCGGACCCUCAAAAGAUGUUCUCGGAUCCUCCAAAAAUACAUAGCUUUUGGAGGAUCCGACACGUAGAUAUUUUUGAAGAGUCUGAGCAAC